GAUGUUAUUUUCGGCAUGGAUUAGUUGACCAAAUACUACGCCAUUAUCGAUUGCAAGAAUUGAACAGUGACAUUUAAAGAGCCGGGGCAGGCGGAGGUUGUGUACCGAGGAUGUCAGAGUUCACUGUUUGUGAUGACGAUUAGCUCCUCUCGAGCUAGACAGUUGAUCAAUAGAGGCUGCGUAGCCUAUUUGGCUACUGUUGUGUUGCGAGCGAUGCAGACGCCCCUAGGAUUGAGGAUAUCCCUGUAGUACGGGAGUUUGGAGAUGUAUUUCCAGCAGAGCUUCCAGGCAUGCCACCUGAUAGAGAGAUUGAAUUUGUGUAGAUCUCGUUCCCGGGACUACCCCAAUCUCAAAGGCACCCUAUAGGAUGGCACCAACGGAACUGAAGGAACUGAAGGUACAGUUGCAAGAUCUUCUGGACAAGGGUUUUGUGCGAACGAGUGUGUCACCUUAUGGAGCACCGGUCCUAUUUGUCAAGAAGAAGGAUGGAUCGCUUCGCUUGUGCGUGGAUUAUCGUGAACUCAAUAAAGUCACGAUCAAGAAUAAGUAUCCAUUACCGAGGAUUGAUGAUUUAUUUGAUCAGCUCCAGGGAUCUAGUGUGUAUUCCAAGAUCGACUUGCAGUCGGGAUACCAUCAGUUGAAGAUCAAGCCUGAGGAUGUGUCGAAAACGGCUUUUAGAACACGGUAUGGACAUUAUGAGUUUACAGUUAUGCCGUUUGGGCUUACUAAUGCCCCGGCAGCUUUUAUGGACUAAUGAACCGUGUUUUCAAGCCUUAUCUAGACAGGUUCGUCGUAGUAUUCAUCGACGACAUUUUGGUCUAUUCCCGAAGUGAUACGGAUCACGAGGAACACUUAAGACUUCUACUUCAAGUGCUUCGGGAAAAGAAGCUCUACGCCAAAAUUGAAGAAGUGUGAGUUUUGGCUUAGAGAGGUGGCGUUUUUGGGCCAUUUGAUUUCAGGAUCAGGUAUAGCUGUAGAUUCGAGAAAAAUUGAAGCCAUCAAGGAUUGGCCGAGGCCUACGAGUGUCACCGAGAUUCGGAGUUUUCUUGGCUUGGCGGGCUACUACCGACGGUUUGUUGAGGGAUUUUCGAGGCUAUCCACUCCCCUCACGAGGCUCACGCAUAAAGGCACCAGGUUUGUUUGGAAUGAUGCGUACGAAAGGAGCUUCCAAGAGUUGAAGCAGAGAUUGACGACCGCCCCGAUCCUGACCUUGCCAACUGCUGGAGCAGGGUAUGUGAUUUAUAGUGAUGCUUCCUUUUAAUGGAUUGGGCUGUGUCUUAAUGCAGGACGGGAAAGUGAUCGCGUAUGCUUCUCGCCAACUGAAGGAUUAUGAAAGAAACUACCCUACUCAUGAUUUGGAGUUGGCGGCCGUGGUCUUUGCAUUAAAGCUAUGGCACCAUUACUUGUACGGCAAGCGAUGCGAAGUAUAUACGGAUCACAAGAGUUUAAAGUAUCUAUUCACUCAGAAGGAGUUGAACUUGAGGCAGCGCAGAUAGUUGGAGCUACUCAAGGAUUAUGAUUUGACGAUACUUUACCAUCCUGGCAAGGCUAACAUGGUGGCGGAUGCGCUAAGUAGGAAAUCGAUGGAAAACUUAGCGAUGCUUGUGGUUACUCAACCGCCGUUGAUCAAGCAGAUGAAGCGGUUGGAGUUGGAGGUGGUGGCUCCUGAUACACCUUUGAGACUGAUGACUUUGGUGGUGCAACCUACACAACCUACACUUGUGGAAAGGAUUAAAGAAAAGCAAGACCCCGAUGUGGAGUUGCAAAGGAUUCGAGCUAAGAUGAUUGAUGGUUGCACCGGUAACUUUUCUGUGGACGGUGUUGGAUUGAUCCAUUUCCGUGGACGGAUCUGUGUACCGGCGAAAUCGGCACUUAGAGAAGAAUUCUUCAAGAGGCACACCGAGCACCGUAUGUUAUACAUCCUGGAGGCACCAAGAUGUACAAGAACUUAAAGUUGCUUUAUUGGUGGCCCGGGAUGAAGAAAGACGUUGGUGAGUUUGUUGCUAGAUGUCUAACUUGCCAACAGGUGAAAGCUGAGCACCGAGUUCCCGUGGAAAAAUUGUAGAGCUUACCGAUUCCGGUGUGGAAAUGGGAGAAGAUCACCAUAGACUUUGUUAUAGGUUUGCCCCGCUCGCAGGCCGGGCAUGAUGCUAUUUGGGUGAUCGUGGAUAGGCUGACGAAAUCGGCACAUUUCGUACCUAUCUACACUAUUUUGACUGUUGAGAGACUCGCACAGGUUUACUUAGAUGAGAUUGUGCGAUUGCACGGGGUACCUACUUCCAUAGUAUCAGAUCGAGUCCCCCGAUUUGUAUUUCACUUUUGGAGGAGUUUACAGGAUGCUUUGGGUACGCGCUUAGACUUAAGUACAGUUUUCCAACCCCAGAGUGACGGGCAAUCAGAGCGCACUAUACAGACUCUUGAGGAUAUGCUUUGAGCCUGUGUGAUAGACUUCCAGUGAGGAUGGUCGCAACAUCUAGCGAUGGCGGAGUUUGCUUAUAACAACAGUUAUCAAGCAAGCAUCAAGAUGACACCUUUCGAGGCACUCUAUGGACGGAAGUGUAGAUCGCCACUUUAUUGGAGUGAAGUUGGCGAGAGAUUGGCUUUAGGCCCAGAUGUGCUCCACGAAGCAGAGGACAAGGUUCGCAUUGCUCGGGAGCGUUUGUUGACAGCCCAGAGUAGGCAAAAGAGUUAUGCUGACAAGCGUCGACGGGAGUUGAAGUUUUAGAUUGGUGAUCAUGUCUUCUUGAAAAUCUCACCGACCAAGGGGAUUAGAAGAUUUGGGAUCCGGGGUAAGUUGAGUCCCCGAUAUAUUGGACCAUAUGAGGUUUUGGAGCGUGUAGGCCUAGUAGCGUAUCGACUUGCCCUACCACCGAACCUAUCGGGUGUACACAAUGUUUUCCACGUAUCAGUCCUCCAGAAGUACAUCCAUGAUCCGGCUCACGUAUUAGAUGCUACACCAUUGGAGCUGAGGGAUGAUUUGAGUUUCUAGGAGCAACCUGUGAGGAUCUUAGCUCGUGAAGUAAAGAGGCUGCGGAACCGCGAGAUCCCUACGUGAAAGUUCUUUGGAGCAACCAUGAUGAGCGCGAGGCCACUUGGGAGUUGGAGAGCGCACUCCGGGAAUGCUAUCCCCAUCAUUUUCAGAUGGAGGCUUGAGGUACUUUACCUUUCGAGUUUUGCGGACGAAACUCCUUUUUAGGAGGGGUGAAUGUAACACACUGGACCUUUGCAAAUUGCGAGGUUCGAGUGUUUAAGCUGUGUUCUGAGUUUUUCCGGAUUUUCUGGUAGGUCGUUGAUAGUGUUUCGACCUAUGGCUCAUAUCUCGAGGAUUGUAGUA
rnacentral:lncRNA from 1 species